CGUAUCGGAUUAUUGGGCGUAAGAGCUCGUAGGCGGUUUGUCGCGUCUGCCGUGAAAGUCCGGGGCUCAACUCCGGAUCUGCGGUGGGUACGGGCAGACUAGAGUGAUGUAGGGGAGACUGGAAUUCCUGGUGUAGCGGUGAAAUGCGCAGAUAUCAGGAGGAACACCGAUGGCGAAGGCAGGUCUCUGGGCAUUAACUGACGCUGAGGAGCGAAAGCAUGGGGAGCGAACAGGAUUAGAUACCCUGGUAGUCCAUGCCGUAAACGUUGGGCACUAGGUGUGGGGGACAUUCCACGUUUUCCGCGCCGUAGCUAACGCAUUAAGUGCCCCGCCUGGGGAGUACGGCCGCAAGGCUAAAACUCAAAGGAAUUGACGGGGGCCCGCACAAGCGGCGGAGCAUGCGGAUUAAUUCGAUGCAACGCGAAGAACCUUACCAAGGCUUGACAUGGGCCGGACCGGGCUGGAAACAGUCCUUCCCCUUUGGGGCCGGUUCACAGGUGGUGCAUGGUUGUCGUCAGCUCGUGUCGUGAGAUGUUGGGUUAAGUCCCGCAACGAGCGCAACCCUCGUUCCAUGUUGCCAGCGCGUAAUGGCGGGGACUCAUGGGAGACUGCCGGGGUCAACUCGGAGGAAGGUGGGGACGACGUCAAAUCAUCAUGCCCCUUAUGUCUUGGGCUUCACGCAUGCUACAAUGGCCGGUACAAAGGGUUGCGAUACUGUGAGGUGGAGCUAAUCCCAAAAAGCCGGUCUCAGUUCGGAUUGGGGUCUGCAACUCGACCCCAUGAA
rnacentral:rRNA from 1 species